rnacentral:lncRNA from 1 species
GACCCGUGCCCCGCCUCCGUGGAUUCUGGAUGCAUGAGAAUGGACGAGGGGUGGCAUUUCAGCUGGUGGCCUUGUGGCCUAGUUCACGCCUUCGUCCUGAUGGAAGUCUGGGUUUGCCCUGAUAUGGAAAUGACACAUGGACAGACACACCACACACACAGAGGAGCCUUGCUAUUUUAAGCAUGUACUUUAUACAAAAUAACCAGUUCAUAUGGAAAUAAAUCUACAGACCUCCAAGGAUCAAAAAGCUUUUUAAAAAGUUCUUUUAAAAAAUUAUCCAACACACAAUAUUGAACUAACUAUUGAGCAUCGCUCUAGCAACAGCUGAUUGGGGCGGUCACUGGGAGAGAGAGGAGACAGGAUUACCUGGAAGAGUGUGCACACAACUGCUCAAGGACCACGAGGGCAGAAGGAAAGGGGGCAAUGGCCCAACUGCUGCUUACAGCCACUCCCACCCAGGCCCCUGGGGUAGUCAUGGGGAGAGGCCCACAGUGUCAGUGCUCCUGUUAAGGAGAAGUGAGAGGCCUCUGAUUCAAACCAGCAUUACCAGGAAAAGAGAAAGGCUGUCAGUGGCCAAAUUCUCUGGGCCUAGACCAGGUCUAACCAGCUCCAAACUAGCUUUUUACCUCCUCCCUGCUUCUGCACAAACACAGAAACUGAAGUAGUAAUGCCCCAUGUUAGCGGAUACUAGCUAAAGGGCAGACCCAUCCACAAUCCUUCUGUCCUCUUCACUCUUCUAAACCAGGUUAUGCCAGUGAUAGGUUUCUAACAAGAAUUAGGAUCCAGUGAGAACACAGGCUCAAAACUCAAUCCACUUGCAAAUACAUCAAAUUUAAAAUUAAAACCUCUCUGAGAGAAAAUCUGUAUUUUUGUGCAUUAUACCUUAGAGGCACCUGUGUUCCCUACUCAACUCUCAAAUCUGCCUGAGCCCUAGGCAGCAGCACCAGGUUCAGCAUUUGCGUACGGAUAUGAACUUCCAUCAUCCUGGAACUGGUGUCUUGGCUUUCAUUUCUCUGUAUCAUGGAUGCUUCCGAUUAGCUUCCUUUUCCACGGACAGCAUAUGUUUAGCAAACUGUAAACACGACAGUUCCAUGCUUCACUAGGAAUCCUGGAAUUGGAGGGAAACACUCUACUGGCCCCUCCCACAGCUGAAUUUAUAAGAAACUAGGGCAGAUUAAUAUUUCAUAGAGACUCUUCUACUAUCCCAAAAGCAUGCUUAAAAAUAUGCUAUUCUUUACAAAGACCUGUAAUUUCAGUAUUUUCCUUAGUUUUUUCUUUUGUGGAAUAUUCAAAAGUUUAAAACAUGGGUCCUAACUUUGGUGACCUUUCAGCUAAAAUCAAAUACAGAAUGCUAACGAGGGAGAAUCCAGUGUAAUUCAACUCUACAACUGUAAUAAAGUAAUUUAAUACUGUAAAAUGGUUUCCUAUCACAGAUACAACAGAUAAUUCC